GCCUGGAUGGCUCAGUUGGUUAGAGUGUGGUGCUGAUAAUGUCAAGGUUGCAGGUUCAAUCCUUGUGUAUGGGACA